rnacentral:rRNA from 1 species
GAUGAACGCUAGCGGCAGGCCUAACACAUGCAAGUCGAGGGGUAACUAGAGUGAUAGCAAUAUUACUUUGGCUAGACCGGCGCACGGGUGCGUAACACGUAUGCAACCUACCUUAUACUGGGGAAUAACUUCGAGAAAUCGGCGCUAAUACCCCAUAACACUGCGGAGAGGCAUCUCUUUGCAGUUAAAGCUCCGGCGGUAUAAGAUGGGCAUGCGUCCAAUUAGCUAGUUGGUGAGGUAACGGCUCACCCAGGCUACGAUUGGUAGGGGUUCUGAGAAGAUGAUCCCCCACACUGGUACUGGGACACGGACCAGACUGCUACGGGAGGCAGCAGUGAGGAAUAUUGCGAGAUUGACGAAAGUCUGACGCAGCCAUGCCGCGUGCAGGAUGACGGCCCUAUGGGUUGUAAACUGCUUUUGUACGGGAAUAAACCCUUCUACGUGUAGGAGGCUGAAGGUACCGUAAGAAUAAGCACCGGCUAACUCCGUGCCAGCCGCCGCGGUAA